CCCAAACAAUAUUUUCUGGGGACUUAAAAAAGGAAAUGUGUAAGAUGUCGAAAAUUGACGGCCACCUAUGGAUUGCAGGCCUAGAAAACAUCCCUAGGAAGGGAUAAGAAUCAAUUUUAGCUCAUUUGUUUAGUGUGGCCUGAGUUUCACCUAUUAUCCUUUUCUGUUUUGCAUAGGGAUCUUGGCAAAAUCACCAACAAAUGCAUGAAGGAAGCUGAAGGCAAUUUGAGUAAUGGUUCCAUAGAAAUUGAAGAAACAUGGAUGUCUCCGAAGGAGAGUAGAGAGCUUGGUUAGUUGUAUCCUAAAAUUAGGAUGCAAUUAAGGUACGUCUCCUUUUUGAGUUCAAUUGAAAUGCUUUGUUCUUUCCAUGUCAGAGAAUUUCUUCUCUUUUUUCCUCAGUCUGUCUCUCUCUCCCUCUCUCUCCUGUCUUCCUUUUCUUCCUCUCAUUAGCAGAUGUCUUUUAUAAUUGAUGUUGUUCACGUCCUUUCAUCAAAUGUAUGCCACAUCACUUAGGCAAACCAGCAGACACGGCACCUAAAUACACAUUAGCGAAGAAUGGCAUCCCGGAGACGCGUCGACUGUCUCAUCAGGGCAGUUAUAAUAAGCAUCUUGGUGCCACUGAAUGCAAUGCUGUAUUCAAACAGUAGCUUUCAUCUUCACUCUUUUUAAAUAUAAAAGUAAACCUUGAAGCCCUUUGAAGGACCUAACCAACAACAUACAUAUGAAAAUAGAUCAGUAAGGCUUUGAGAAAUACCGUGAUGUAAAAAUCUGUAAAGCAUCUUUGCAUUUUUUUCCAAGAAAGACCUCCAGGUAAAUGAUGGCUUUUAAUAAGACACAUGACAGUCUCAAUUAUGAGAAUCAUUAUUGUGUGCCCUGUGUGCCAUUUUGUGUUCCCAGCAGGAUACCUUUUUUUUUCCACAUCAAGAAUUUCCAGGGCUGUCUACUGUUGUCUGAGUAAAGUACAUUGAAUGUUUCCCCGAAGCUGCACUAAUUCAAAGGAAAAAAAAAAAAAGCAAAACACACAGCAACGACAACAAAAAUUUUCUCAAGUGGUCAGACAGACUGGAACUAGUGGAUUUAUAGGUUUUGUUACAACUCCCUGCUCCUACUCUCUUGGGAAUCCCAAAGCAAACUACAGAACCAUAAAGUGAGACAACUUCGACCUCCUCCAAGUUCAGCUUACUCCUGCAGAAAAUGCCUUUCAGAUAGCUCUGGUGCAUGUUUAAGGAUUUUAGAAUCCUGAAAAAUGUACAAAGAAUGAAGCCUGAGUAAAUAUCCAAUGGCACGUGUACAGAGGCAUGGAAAUGGGUCAGUUUAAGCAAAUCAUUAAACUUCAUUCACUCACAUCUUUCUAAAAAUAGAAACAUUUUGUCCCACUUGGAAUCACUGCAAAGACUCAGGCUUAAGUAGUUUCAUCAAAUCCAGAACUUUAAUAUGUAUUCCCCCUUUCCCAGCUCUGUCAACCAGUGGACACACACUAUGUCCUCAGAAAAAAUGCCAUAUUUUGGAAACUUAUGCUAUUUACAAGCAUGUAAAUAUACUGGAGUUUAGGAAAUGUCUGUUUUCAAUUUCUCAUUAUGUUGUGCAUAUUUUCAUUUCAUUAUUUCUCCCCAAGUAUUCCAAGUUUAAUAAUUAAAGUGUAUCUAAUUUUAGAAUUUUACUGCCCAUUCCAAUAAGAUAUCUUUGGUAACUAUAGAGACUUUCAAAAUUAUACUUUUAACAUUAUAUUAGCUUUAACUAAAAUAAAAGGUUAUAUUUAAAGGGGAGGAAAUUGAGCUCCUUUCCAUUACCUCUGCCAUAUGCCUCGAGCUAUUUCCCACAAUAGAAACAAAAGCUUAUCUUUUUUCUCUAAUGGACAUGUUUAGCUUUUGGAUAUUAAUUUUCUAAUCUCUAAGAAAUGACAAUAUUUUUUCUGGAGUGCCUCAAAUGUUUCCAGUUUAGUAUAAGAAAAUUAUGAUAAAUUAAAAAUGUUUAAAAGGUAUUUCAUAAAGCCAAUUUACCUUAUCAGAGAUAUAAUCUUGCAGUGUGGAUUUGCACAAUGGUGUGUUCACUCCAAGCUUUAAAAAUCAGUAUUAUUGGCCAAACUUUUGUGUCAUUCAUCUGAUCUUAAUAAAAGUAGAUCAAAAUAGAAUUGAGAAUGUGAAAGAAACUAUAAAUGGAUAUUUAGUUUAAAAGUUUAUAUUUGGUAAACAAUUUGUGUUACCCUAAAAACAUAAAAGAGGAUGUUACCCUCAAUUUUAGCAGAAAAUAAAAACUAAAAAUAGAAUGCAAAAUAAUAUAUUUUUGUGGUUUUGUUUCCAGGAUGGCAGGAUUUCUUUGCAAAUCUCACGUAAAAUGUGCUUGCCCUGUAGUUACAUACAAGCAAAGAGGAGAAGCCAACUUGUUUGUUUAAAUCAAUGUGUUUGAAAUUAUUUUGGGAAUGCUUAGACUUUUAAGGUGACUAUAAUUCUUUUCGUUUGUCUGCGAGUCAGAAUUUCUUCAUUUGAGCCAUGAGCAAAAUCCAAUGUAACAUUAAGGAAAGCAGUUUUAAGCAAAAUAUGAUGACCAGACCUUACAAUGUAAAUAGCUCUCUCAAAGAGAAAGGUGCACCGAGCUAUGAAACUAGAGGCUACAAGUCAAUGAAAUGUUCAUCAAUUUUUUAGACAUUGACACAAUGCAAAUUUAGUAAAAGAACAAGAUGUGAUGAAAAAAUGAUUCUAAAUUUAUUUUAUGUUGCUUUUAACGAUCUUUUUAAUGGUAUCUUUUGAGAAAAUAUCUUCUAGCUAAAAAUUAUUUUAAUAAAAAUGCACAAGAAUGUUAGAAUAUUUU
ensembl:lincRNA